rnacentral:misc_RNA from 1 species
CGCACAUUGCGCCCUUUGGUAUUCCGAAGGGCAUGCCUGUUCGAGCGUCAUUAUCACCCUUCAAGCCCCGUGCUUGGUGUUGGACGGUCUGGUCGAGUACAUAUUUGACCCCUUCUAAAGACAAUGACGGCGGCCUGUGGAUCCCCCGGUACACUGAGCUUUCUAAAAUGAGCACGUGCCGGAUAAGGGCGCCCAGGACACGGUCCUUCUCCCGUAAAAAGGAAUUUUUUUCUCCAGGUUGACCUCGGAUCAGGUAGGAAUACGCGCUGAACUUAA